rnacentral:rRNA from 1 species
UACGUAGGGGGGCUAGCGUUGUCCGGAAUCAUUGGGCGUAAAGAGCUCGUAGGCGGCUUGUCGCGUCGACUGUGAAAACCCGCGGCUCAACCGCGGGCCUGCAGCCGAUACGGGCAGGCUGGAGUUCGGUAGGGGAGACUGGAAUUCCUGGUGUAGCGGUGAAAUGCGUAGAUAUCGAGAGGAACACCUGCGGCGAAGGCGGGUUGCUGGGCUGAUACUGACGCUGAGGCGCGAAAGCCAGGGGAGCGAACGGG